GAAAUGCGAUAAGUAAUGUGAAUUGCAGAAUUCAGUGAAUCAUCGAAUCUUUGAACGCACAUUGCGCCCCCUGGUAUUCCGGGGGGCAUGCCUGUUCGAGCGUCAUUUCACCACUCAAGCCUCGCUUGGUAUUGGGCAACGCGGUCCGCCGCGUGCGUCAAAUCGACCGGCUGGGUCUUCUGUCCCCUAAGCGUUGUGGAAACUAUUCGCUAAAGGGUGUUCGGGAGGCUACGCCGUAAAACAACCCCAUUUCUAAGGUUGACCUCGGAUCAGGUAGGGAUACCCGCUGAACUUAAGC
rnacentral:misc_RNA from 1 species